CCUACGGGGGGCUGCAGUGGGGAAUAUUGGACAAUGGGCGAAAGCCUGAUCCAGCCAUGCCGCGUGUGUGAAGAAGGCCUUCGGGUUGUAAAGCACUUUCAGUGGGGAAGAAAGCCUUGGGGCUAAUACCCUCGAGGAAGGACAUCACCCACAGAAGAAGCACCGGCUAACUCCGUGCCAGCAGCCGCGGUAAUACGGAGGGUGCGAGCGUUAAUCGGAAUUACUGGGCGUAAAGCGCGCGUAGGCGGUCUGAUAAGCCGGUUGUGAAAGCCCCGGGCUCAACCUGGGAACGGCAUCCGGAACGGGCGGGCUAGAGUCAAGGAGGGGGAGGUAACAUUCCAGGUGUAGCGGUGAAAUGCGUAGAGAUCUGGAGGAAUACCGGGGGCGAGGGCGGCCUCCUGGACUGAUACGGACGCUGAGGUGCGACAGCGUGGGUAGCAAACAGGAUUAGAUCCCCCGGUAGUC
rnacentral:rRNA from 1 species